rnacentral:rRNA from 1 species
AGUGAACGCUGGCGGUAGGCCUAACACUUGCAAGUCGAACGGCAGCACAGUAAGAGCUUGCUCUUACGGGUGGCGAGUGGCGGACGGGUGAGGAAUACAUCGGAAUCUACUUUUUCGUGGGGGAUAACGUAGGGAAACUUACGCUAAUACCGCAUACGACCUACGGGUGAAAGCAGGGGAUCUUCGGACCUUGCGCGAUUGAAUGAGCCGAUGUCGGAUUAGCUAGUUGGCGGGGUAAAGGCCCACCAAGGCGACGAUCCGUAGCUGGUCUGAGAGGAUGAUCAGCCACACUGGAACUGAGACACGGUCCAGACUCCUACGGGAGGCAGCAGUGGGGAAUAUUGGACAAUGGGCGCAAGCCUGAUCCAGCCAUACCGCGUGGGUGAAGAAGGCCUUCGGGUUGUAAAGCCCCUUUGUUGGGAAAGAAAAGCAGCAGGUUAAUACCCCGCUGUUCUGACGGUACCCAAAGAAUAAGCACCGGCUAACUUCGUG